rnacentral:rRNA from 1 species
AUCGUUAACUGAAUACAUAGGUUAACGAGGCGAACCGGGGGAACUGAAACAUCUAAGUACCCCGAGGAAAAGAAAUCAACCGAGAUUCCCCCAGUAGCGGCGAGCGAACGGGGAGCAGCCCAGAGUCUGAAUCAGCUUGUGUGUUAGUGGAACGGUCUGGAAAGUCCGACGGUACAGGGUGAUAGUCCCGUACACCAAAAUGCACAGGUUGUGAACUCGAAGAGUAGGGCGGGACACGUGGUAUCCUGUCUGAAUAUGGGGGGACCAUCCUCCAAGGCUAAAUACUCCUGACUGACCGAUAGUGAACCAGUACCGUGAGGGAAAGGCGAAAAGAACCCCGGCGAGGGGAGUGAAAAAGAACCUGAAACCGUGUACGUACAAGCAGUGGGAGCACCUUCGGGUGUGACUGCGUACCUUUUGUAUAAUGGGUCAGCGACUUAUAUUCUGUAGCAAGGUUAACCGUAUAGGGGAGCCGCAGGGAAACCGAGUCUUAACUGGGCGUUAAGUUGCAGGGUAUAGACCCGAAACCCGGUGAUCUAGCCAUGGGCAGGUUGAAGGUUGGGUAACACUAACUGGAGGACCGAACCGACUAAUGUUGAAAAAUUAGCGGAUGACUUGUGGCUGGGGGUGAAAGGCCAAUCAAACCGGGAGAUAGCUGGUUCUCCCCGAAAGCUAUUUAGGUAGCGCCUCGUGAACUCAUCUUCGGGGGUAGAGCACUGUUUCGGCUAGGGGGUCAUCCCGACUUACCAACCCGAUGCAAACUACGAAUACCGAAGAAUGUUAUCACGGGAGACACACGGCGGGUGCUAACGUCCGUCGUGAAGAGGGAAACAACCCAGACCGCCAGCUAAGGUCCCAAAGUCAUGGUUAAGUGGGAAACGAUGUGGGAAGGCACAGACAGCCAGGAUGUUGGCUUAGAAGCAGCCAUCAUUUAAAGAAAGCGUAAUAGCUCACUGGUCGAGUCGGCCUGCGCGGAAGAUGUAACGGGGCUAAACCAUGCACCGAAGCUGCGGCAGCGACACUAUGUGUUGUUGGGUAGGGGAGCGUUCUGUAAGCCUGCGAAGGUGUGCUGUGAGGCAUGCUGGAGGUAUCAGAAGUGCGAAUGCUGACAUAAGUAACGAUAAAGCGGGUGAAAAGCCCGCUCGCCGGAAGACCAAGGGUUCCUGUCCAACGUUAAUCGGGGCAGGGUGAGUCGACCCCUAAGGCGAGGCCGAAAGGCGUAGUCGAUGGGAAACAGGUUAAUAUUCCUGUACUUGGUGUUACUGCGAAGGGGGGACGGAGAAGGCUAUGUUAGCCGGGCGACGGUUGUCCCGGUUUAAGCAUGUAGGCUGGUUGUCCAGGCAAAUCCGGAUAAUCAAGGCUGAGGUGUGAUGACGAGGCACUACGGUGCUGAAGUAACAAAUGCCCUGCUUCCAGGAAAAGCCUCUAAGCAUCAGGUAACAUCAAAUCGUACCCCAAACCGACACAGGUGGUCAGGUAGAGAAUACCAAGGCGCUUGAGAGAACUCGGGUGAAGGAACUAGGCAAAAUGGUGCCGUAACUUCGGGAGAAGGCACGCUGGUGUGUAGGUGAAGUCCCUGCGGAUGGAGCUGAGACCAGUCGAAGAUACCAGCUGGCUGCAACUGUUUAUUAAAAACACAGCACUGUGCAAACACGAAAGUGGACGUAUACGGUGUGACGCCUGCCCGGUGCCGGAAGGUUAAUUGAUGGGGUUAUCCGUAAGGAGAAGCUCUUGAUCGAAGCCCCGGUAAACGGCGGCCGUAACUAUAACGGUCCUAAGGUAGCGAAAUUCCUUGUCGGGUAAGUUCCGACCUGCACGAAUGGCGUAAUGAUGGCCAGGCUGUCUCCACCCGAGACUCAGUGAAAUUGAACUCGCUGUGAAGAUGCAGUGUACCCGCGGCAAGACGGAAAGACCCCGUGAACCUUUACUAUAGCUUGACACUGAACAUUGAGCCUUGAUGUGUAGGAUAGGUGGGAGGCUUUGAAGCGUGGACGCCAGUCUGCGUGGAGCCAACCUUGAAAUACCACCCUUUAAUGUUUGAUGUUCUAACGUUGGCCCCUGACCGGGGUUGCGGACAGUGUCUGGUGGGUAGUUUGACUGGGGCGGUCUCCUCCCAAAGCGUAACGGAGGAGCACGAAGGUUAGCUAAUCCUGGUCGGACAUCAGGAGGUUAGUGCAAUGGCAUAAGCUAGCUUGACUGCGAGCGUGACGGCGCGAGCAGGUGCGAAAGCAGGUCAUAGUGAUCCGGUGGUUCUGAAUGGAAGGGCCAUCGCUCAACGGAUAAAAGGUACUCCGGGGAUAACAGGCUGAUACCGCCCAAGAGUUCAUAUCGACGGCGGUGUUUGGCACCUCGAUGUCGGCUCAUCACAUCCUGGGGCUGAAGUAGGUCCCAAGGGUAUGGCUGUUCGCCAUUUAAAGUGGUACGCGAGCUGGGUUUAGAACGUCGUGAGACAGUUCGGUCCCUAUCUGCCGUGGGCGCUGGAGAAUUGAGGGGGGCUGCUCCUAGUACGAGAGGACCGGAGUGGACGCAUCACUGGUGUUCGGGUUGUCAUGCCAAUGGCACUGCCCGGUAGCUAAAUGCGGAAGAGAUAAGUGCUGAAAGCAUCUAAGCACGAAACUUGCCCCGAGAUGAGUUCUCCCUGAGACUUUAAG